rnacentral:rRNA from 1 species
AGUCGAGGGGUAUAGUAGCAAUACUAGAGACCGGCGCACGGGUGCGUAACGCGUAUGCAAUCUGCCUUUCACAGAGGGAUAGCCCAGAGAAAUUUGGAUUAAUACCUCAUAGUAUAGUACAACCGCAUGGUUGAACUAUUAAAGUCACAACGGCGAAAGAUGAGCAUGCGUCCCAUUAGCUAGUUGGUAAGGUAACGGCUUACCAAGGCUACGAUGGGUAGGGGUCCUGAGAGGGAGAUCCCCCACACUGGUACUGAGACACGGACCAGACUCCUACGGGAGGCAGCAGUGAGGAAUAUUGGUCAAUGGGCGCAAGCCUGAACCAGCCAUGCCGCGUGCAGGAUGACGGUCCUAUGGAUUGUAAACUGCUUUUGUACGGGAAGAAACAACUCUACGUGUAGAGUCUUGACGGUACCGUAAGAAUAAGGAUCGGCUAACUCCGUGCCAGCCGCCGCGGUAAUACGGAGGAUCCAAGCGUUAUCCGGAAUCAUUGGGUUUAAAGGGUCCGUAGGCGGUUUAGUAAGUCAGUGGUGAAAGCCCAUCGCUCAACGGUGGAACGGCCAUUGAUACUGCUAGACUUGAAUUAUUAGGAAGCAACUAGAAUAUGUAGUGUAGCGGUGAAAUGCUUAGAGAUUACAUGGAAUACCAAUUGCGAAGGCAGGCUGCUACUAAUGGAUUGACGCUGAUGGACGAAAGCGUGGGUAGCGAACAGGAUUAGAUACCCUGGUAGUCCACGCCGUAAACGAUGGAUACUAGCUGUUGGGAGCGAUCUCAGUGGCUAAGCG